rnacentral:tRNA from 1 species
UGAGGAGCUAGUCUAACCCAAGACCCCUAACUUCGACCUAGAAAAUCAUGACUUGCCUCAUGGCUCCCUA